GUGGGUGCUCACCUUCUCUAUUUCGAGCUGACAACUGGAAAGAGGGAGGGAAGGUCCGCUCCCUCCAACUUUCCUAGCAAAGUCCUUGUCGCAGCUUAUGCACACCAGGUUAUGAGUUCACCAUAGCAGGUGCAACCGAGGGAUUCAUUCUGCACAGUUUGCUCCAUUCCCCAGCACUGUGUCUGAUCACUGCAGGACCACAGGAGAAGCAGCCUGACCUUGCCCCGAAGCCCAAGUUCAGCCACGUCCAACUGUUUCAUUGGACCUUGGGUUUAGGAAGGUGCGGAUUUCUGAUGGAGAUUGGUGAUAGACCCCUGUUGGAAAGAGAGUGCAUCUGGCUGGAGACCAUCUCCAGCGAGAAGAGCAAUUGAAGACGUCAGACCAGAUGAACUGAUUCAGAGGAAUUUUUCACCAAGAUGGGUGCUAGAGAGGUCUACGACGGCACUGGAAACCUAUCAUGAUGAAAGAUGAUUAGCGAUUCUUGAAAAAGAUUUCGCUGUAAUGAGCCCUUUGUUUUAAGAAUAUUUGUAGGAUGGAAUUUCACCUGAUGACCUGACACUCAGGUAGACGCUGAAGUGACCCCGGUCCUUUUUCACCCCACCUUCUUAGUCUGCUCCCUGCAGAGGCUCCAGAGAUCUAGGACACUUUAUAGCUUCGAGUAAAUAAUCAUGGUCUGAAUUUGAGACACGACACUCCAAAGCCCAAAUGAAUGGCAGUUGUCACUAAAGCAUUACGUGCAGCUACCAUCUUUCACCCAGGUUACUCCCUCGUUAUGUCUGUGAUAAAGAUGGAUGAUAAGUGUUUGGCAAUUAAACUGAAAACAAAUGUGGGGAAU